CCGCCUGCAGCUGGGAGCCGUGACGCAGGUUCACGCAGCUCCAUUUGGUGAAGCGCGGGGACGUAGUGUGGAUUGAGUUGUUCUCCUCGCCUUGUGCUGAGUGGCGGGGCAUUACCGGAGGCGCUGGUGGGGCUACUGAUGAGAUAAGCGAAGUGGAGUGAACAGACCCUUCCACGGGCGGCCCCGGAGCACUGGCACGCCGACCCUCUGCUUUUGUGUACGUGUGUGAUUUUUCAUUUUCCAGAAAGGACGCGGUUCCAGUUUAGAAAAAAAAGAAAAGAAAGAGAGAGAAAAAAGAAAGGAACGAAAUUCGCGUCUGUGUUUUUUUUUACUUUUCUUUUCUUUUUGUUUUAAGCCCAGAGGAUGUUUUUUAUAGUGUUGCUUCCAUUCCUGAAAAGCUCAGUGGUUUGGUAGAAUUGAUAAGAGAAGAUAGUCAGUUAUACCUUCCAUAGACAAGGAGGUGCUUCACUCUGUAGAGACUGAAGGAGUGGCUCUUGCUUCUCCCGAAUUGGCAGGAGUGAGUCACGGGGCACUCACGGCACCGCCAAGACCACCACUAACACUUCUGGCAUAAAAAAAGACAUUCCAACGAAAUGCAGGAGAAUUAAAGUCUAGAAUCUAAAAGAAGAUGUGAGGCACGCUUGAACUGGCACCUCGUAAAGCCACGUGAGUCAUAACAGAGUGUGACAGCUGCGGCGCGUGUAGCUUCAUUCACAGGGACAUGAGUGUGUGCAGCUGAGGCGUCGAUUGAGAAGGCAGUAAAGUGUUCUCAAAGUGUGAUACGCCAGGAAUGGAGGAGCCGGUGAAGGCCGCGUCCCUGUCUGGCUGGAGCUUGAAGGGAAGGAAAAAAAUGGGGCAUUCCUAUAUUUUUCCCCGCGGCUCAUCCCUUUCUGCCCUGCCCCGUCCCAUAUACCUGCUACUGGUGCUGCUUGCCCUCAGCCGCCGGGCCGCGGGCUCCGAUGUCAUCAGAAUAGGUGGGCUGUUCGAUCCGGAGGACGAGCGGCAGGAGGUGGCCUUCAGGUACGCAGUGGACGCCAUCAACAGUGACCGCACGCUGCUGGCCCACGCGCGCCUCUCCGCCCAGAUUGAAGUGAUUCCUCCCAACGAUUCCUUCAGGGGCUCCAGGAAAGUCUGCUCCCUACUCAAGUCUGGCGUGGCGGCAAUCUUCGGGCCCCAGUCUGGCCAGACCUCGGCUCACGUGCAGUCUAUCUGUGACGCCCUCGAGGUGCCACACAUAGAGAACAGGUGGGACUUCAGGCUGACCCGCGACGCUUACUCCGUCAAUCUGUACCCGCACCCGUCCACGCUGUCCAAGGCGUACAUGGACGUGCUGAUGACGCUCCGGUGGCGCAAGUUUUACGUGAUCUACGAGAACAACGACGGCCUGGUGCGCGUGCAGGAGCUGCUCAAGAACGAGACGUGGCACAUCACCCUCAGACAACUGCCGGUCACUGACGACUACAGACCCAUGCUGAAGGACGCCAAAAAGGCCGGCGUGACCUACGUGGUGCUGGACUUGGAGAGAGACAAGAUCUUCACGGUGCUCAAGCAGGCGCAGCAGAUCGGCAUGAUGACCUCCUACCACAACUACUUCAUCACUUCCCUGGACUUACACACGGUGGACCUGGAGGACUUCCGUCACGGGGGCACCAACAUCACCUGCCUGAGACUCGUGGACCCAGACAAUCCCUUAGUGCAGCGCGUCAUCCAGGACUGGGUUUUCGGGGAGCUACGUUACGGCCGCACUGUCGACGCCCCAACCACUUCCCUAGAGAAGAGUAACUUGACAUUCUUGAAGACGGAGGUGGCGCUCAUGUACGACGCGGUUCGCCUCUUCGCUAAAGCCCUGGACGACCUUGACCGCUCGAGGCACAUCGACGUGACGCCCCUUGAUUGUGACGGAGACAACGCCUGGGUGCACGGGAACUCCCUCGUUAACUAUAUGAAGUGGGUACAAGUGAACGGCCUAACGGGACUCAUCAAAUUCGACACGGAAGGCUUCAGGAGAGACGUGACGCUGGAUAUCGUGGAGCUCACCAAGGAUGGACUCACCCGCGUUGGGAAGUGGGACCCAGCGAACGGCGCCAACUACACGCGAACGUACAGCGAAGUGCAGCAAGGCAUCGUGGAGAGUCUGCAGAACAAGACACUCGUCAUCACCAGCGUCCUUGCCGCGCCCUACACCAUGCUACGCGAGACCUCGGAACAGAUGACCGGCAACCACCGCUACGAGGGUUUCUGCGUAGACCUCAUUCACGAGAUUUCAGAGAUCCUAGGCUUCAACUACACCAUCAAGAUCGCAGACGACGGCCAGCAUGGCAAAUUUGACAAGAAGCUUGGCAGGUGGAACGGCAUGAUUGGAGAGCUGCUUGACCAGAAAGCUGAUCUGGCCAUCGGCGACCUGACUAUCACCUACGAGAGAGAGCAGGAGGUCGACUUCACUAUGCCCUGGAUGAACCUUGGCAUCUCCAUACUGUACCGGAAGCCAACCAAGAAACCACCCAACCUGUUCAGCUUCCUGUCUCCCCUCUCGCUGGAUGUGUGGCUCUACAUGGCAACGGCUUAUCUGGGCGUCUCCCUCCUCCUCUUCGUUCUGGCCAGGUGCUUCACGAGGCUGGGGGCGUGGAGACAUGGGAAAAGAGGCCCUGCAUCCUCCAGGCUGGCAGACGAUGGAGGAAGCAACGAGGGGGUGACCUUCUCUUCCAGGAAGCGUGAGGCUGAGGUGUCGGAGAGGUUAAGUCCCUAUGAGUGGACUGCAUCCUUUCCAUGCCGAGAAGACGGAACCAAAACACUGGAAAAUCAGUAUAGUCUCUUCAAUUCGCUGUGGUUUACAAUGGGCAGCAUCCUACAGCAAGGCACUGAGCAGCAGCCAAAGGCCGUAUCGACGCGCAUCGUGGCCGGCAUGUGGUGGUUCUUCACGCUCAUCAUGAUCUCCUCCUACACCGCCAACCUCGCCGCCUUCCUUACCGUGGAGCGCAUGGAGUCCCCGAUUGAGUCAGCGGAAGACCUCGCCAUGCAGACCAAGAUCAAGUACGGCUCCCUCUACGGCGGCUCCACCUGGAACUUCUUCAGCACCUCGAAGCUCCCCAUCUACCAGCGCAUGUUCAGCUUCAUGGAGUCGCAGAACCCAACAGUAUAUACCAAGUCCAAUGAGGAGGGCGUGAAGAGGGUACAGAAGGGAGACGGCCAGUAUGCCUACAUGAUGGAGUCGUCUAGCAUCGAGUACAUCACAGAACGGUACUGCGAUCUGACUCAGGUGGGCGGCCCGCUAGACUCCAAAAGCUACGGCAUCGCGCUCCCGCCAGGCUCCCCCUACCGUACGCUGAUCAACGCCGCCGUACUCAAGCUCCAGGAGGGAGGAGUUCUUCACGAGCUCAAGCGCAGGUGGUGGAAAGAGAAGAGGGGCGGGGGCACCUGCCAGCCUGACGAAUCCAAGAGUUCCUCGAAAGCCAACGAGCUCGGCCUGAACAACGUGGGCGGCGUGUUCGUGGUACUGCUGGCCGGCAUGGGUCUCGCUUCGGUGGUCGCUGUGUGUGAGUUCGUAUGGAAGUCAAGAAAGCUGGCCACGGAGGAGCAUAGAUGAGUAAGGAACUCAAGUUCGCGCUCUCCUGCGACGCGUCCUCCAAGCCGGUGAGGAAGAAGCUGCCUGAGCACGAGAAUGGACCUUCGUACCUCUCCAUGAACAACACCUUCGGGUCCACCUUCACCACCUCCCAGUACUCCUUCUCAUCUAAGGACCCCGUCUCCUGACAACUGCAGUCCCAGCCACCAACACAAGAGCCAGCGCCUCGAGGUUCCGCUCAAAAACAGGAGCCAGAUGAUAUCCCCACGCCGCCCCUGGCCGCCGCCCGCAGUAGCCAGUCCCUGGACCGCGUCUCUCGCCGCUCAGCACCGCCUGCGUCCCCCGGAGCUGACAGCAGACUGACUGAGGGAGGCCUACAGUCCCCCGACCUCCCAUUCCAGCUGAUAUCAUCGGUAUGACACUAGGGCAGCGUAGGUCAGCAGCAGGCGGACACGCAGGCUGUCAUCUUGCACAUCGCUCGCUCUCGGCUCUAAGCUCAACAAGAAAGGCAAUCAUAUAUUUUAUACACUAAUACAAUACGUAACAUUUACUCAAGAUGGCAUGUAAAUAAUGACAGGUCUUUCAAAAUCGUGGACAGAAUACAUAAAUAAAAAAAAAAAAGUUUUCUAAGUUUCAUAAAUGUGUAGCGUCAGAUUGGAAAUUCCUGACACUAAAGACAAGUAUCUGUUCACAGCUCUUGUCCCAGUUAUAGAAACCCUGAGGAAACGCGUUAUCUUAUUGUUUUGCUAGUUUGUAGAGAUUCUGGACACUUGCGAUCAAGAAACAGCAACAGAUGUAUAAGAAAAGGAUGAACAGUGAGAAUAGCUGUGCGUCGUAAUUUGAAGUAAUGGUGAUUCGUGCCAAAGUGAUGCCUCAGCCACUUAUCCGAGAAAGCGAAAGAGCUCGGCAGAAAGGAAAGUGAUGGUCAAGGUAGAAGACGUCUUCAUCAUUAAGAGUGCUUGAUGUGAUGAACUGUGAAGAAAUUAGCUUAUAGAAAGACACUUCCUAUGUGAGUAUAUGAUUUGACGAAUUGGGACUAAAGGAAGCACUUAGAAAUAUUUGGAAAACAGUGGGUUGGUGAUGAAUUCCAUUUUGAGUGAUUAGAAACUUUGCGAAUAAAUGGAGCAUCUAGAAAUGUUUGGAAGACAGUCUCUUGAUGAAAGAUAAUUCCUUAAUUCAAAAAUUUGUACAUAGUUUUGUAAGACAUUAGAAGCAUUGUGGAAUUCGGUGUACAUACGACAAAAACACAAUACAAUGUAUUGUUUAGAGUUGUACAUAAAUUGCAAUUCUAGAAAUAUUUGGAAAUCAGUCAAUUGAUGAAAGUCCCUGAUUCAUAGAAAAAUUACACAAAUAAAAAACAUAAAGACGGCGUGAAACACCGCAUCUUCACGAACAAAACUACCAUUAUGUAAGUAUAUUAAUCUCACAUACAAAAAAUAGAUUAAUUAAAAGAAACGAGUGAUAGCAAAGAGCAAAAAAAAAAAUCGCACUUUGAGAAGAAUUUGACAAGGUAGAUUAUCAAUAGAUACACGAAGAAAACGCUCUGAAGCGUACUACUGUUUUAAAAGAUGUACGGUCAUGAAUCUAAUUACAACUAGAAAUAUCCCAAAAACACUCAGUUGAUAACCAAGAAAGAUUCGUGCUUGAAGAGCAAGAAACAUUGUGGAAAUCAGCCAGUUCACCAAGAAAACGCUUUGGGACGUAUUACUGUUUUUAUAUCUGCGUGUGAGUGCAGGGUACCUUGCUCAUGUGGUAGCUUGACCGUGCCUGUAGUGUAAGUCAGGUGUACUAUGUAGGGUAAGUCACGCAUACCGAGACACCUUACCUUAGGACAAACAACUAGCCCUUCACUGUACAUACAUCACACUCUGACGUUUCAGUGAGUAGGACAGCAAAAUAUGAAUAAAUAAAUGAAUAAACAAAAGCUUCAAGACAAAAAAGAGUAUAUACAUAUAUAUAUAUAGGGAGACCAAAACUAAGGUCUCAUCAGGUACAAAUUAAAGACUAGAAAGAUAUGCGGUGGAAAUUUGCUUACGAGAUUCUUCCUGAGUUGAGUGGCUUGAGAUGGUGUGUGUGUGUGUAUGUGUGUGUGUGUGUGUGUGUGUGUGUGUGUGUGUGUGUGUGUGUGUGUGUGUGUGUGUGUGUGUUAUUUGUUUACACUAGUGAGAAAAAUUACGGGAAAUGACUGAGGAUUGACAGUGUGCGUAAGAAGCAAUUGACAGUUUAUUAAGGGGAUGAGAAACAAAAUAUUGUAUACGUAUGAUAAGCGGCUGGUCAGAUAGGGUUAGUCUCUCUCUCUCUCUCUCUCUCUCUCUCUCUCUCUCUCUCUCUCUCUCUCUCUCUCUCUCUCUCUCUCUCUCUCUCUCUCUCUCUCUCUGGAGUGUGUUUGUUUAGGAGAGAUGCAGUUAUUACGAAGUUAUAUUUUUACAUGACAAGCUGCUGGCCAAAGGAUAUAAGAAAUAAAACAGUAAAAACCAUAAUGUGUUCACAAGUAUUUGCUAUCAGGAUUACAGAAGUUUAAGAUUAAUCUGUAUUUUGUUAUCCAUUUGGUAAAGCAUAACGCUCGUGGAUGUACUAAUGCAUAUGAUUCAGAUAAGCUGUUAUAGUGAGUAUCCGUUUCAAUGUGUUAGUAUUCACCGGCUCCACGACCUACAUUUUAUUUUUAAGGUUAUACACUUUAAUGUUUAAUGAGAAUGUUAUCUUUAUACGUAAUAAGGCAUUAUGUUAUUUACUUUAUAUAUACUAUGAAUGUUACUGUUGAUUAUUACUUUUUAGAUUAUAACAAAGAAUUGUGCCAAGAGUGAAAGAAAGAGAUUCACAUGAAAUUAGUUAAGCAAAAAAGGGAGAUAAUGUUUUAUGCUUCAAUGUGUCUGGACGCUUGCUGAGGAAUGAACAGCAUGAGAGAAAGUUCCAUUGAUUAUCAUUAUAUUUUAGGCAAUCACAAAGAAAUGAGUUGCCAACGAGGGAGAGAGAUUCAAGCAAGUGAAAUUAAUCAAGUAUAGCCAGACAACAUUCUUAGAUUUGCAUGAACGUUUGUUGAGGGAUAAAAUUACAAGUGAAAGCUAUAUUGUUAAGUAUUAGUUUAUUUUGUUCUAAUAAUUAUAAAAGAAAAUGUAUCAGCAGUGAGGGAAGAAGAUACAAGCCAGAAUAACCAGGCAAAGAGACAACGUUCGCAAGGUUUUUUUUUUUUUUUUUUUACUUAUGCCAUGUUUGUGUGAACGUUUGAAUAUGAGUAAGAGGAGAAAGCAAUGACGUUUCAGUGUUUAGUCACAAAGAUGAGAAAACUUUGUGUGCUUAAUGAAUGUUCAAGCAUCAAUGUUUGGCCUCACUAAUGAUGACUGAGGUUGAAAAGAGAGGUUCAGAUCAAACUGCAGCCUUUUGUGUCGGGUGAGUGUUGCUUGCGAGUCGGUGUGCUUGACUCUUCCCGUGUAUCCAUGAUUAAAAAUUUUGUAGCCAAGAAGAGACGAGGCAGACGCGUGAGUGUUGGCCGCAGUCUUUGAUUACUGUUGAUUAGAUUUAAUACGUGACUCAAUAUUAUUUGUUGUAUGUUUAGUGUUACGAGCUGUUCAUGUACUAUUCUUUUAUGUCAUUACCAAAUACAUUAUUACAAGCUGUUUCA
rnacentral:misc_RNA from 1 species